UACGUAGGGUGCGAGCGUUGUCCGGAAUUAUUGGGCGUAAAGAGCUCGUAGGCGGUCUGUCGCGUCUGCUGUGAAAACUCAGGGCUUAACCCUGAGCUUGCAGUGGGUACGGGCAGACUAGAGUGCGGUAGGGGAGACUGGAAUUCCUGGUGUAGCGGUGAAAUGCGCAGAUAUCAGGAGGAACACCGGUGGCGAAGGCGGGUCUCUGGGCCGUAACUGACGCUGGAGGAGCGGAAAGCAUGGGGAGCGAACAGG
rnacentral:rRNA from 1 species